AAUAAGUGCAGUUUUAGCACUGUUCAUGUUCAACAUUUGACCGUUCGUCUUAUUUGAAAAACAAUUAUGAUUAGUAUUUUUAUUAUUGUUAGAUGAUAAUACAUGAAUAGUACUUUAUGUGACUAAUAUUUUUAAUUUUUUAUAAAUUUUUUAAAUAAGACAGAUGGUCAAAACGCUGGAGACGAAUAUCUAUAGCUGCACUUAUU
rfam:Oryza sativa Japonica Group DNA, chromosome 9, cultivar: Nipponbare, complete sequence.